rnacentral:tRNA from 2 species
GUGAAGUUAGUUUAUAUAAAAUAUUAAGUUGUGGGCUUAAAGAAAAAUUUUAAUUUUACUUUACU